rnacentral:lncRNA from 1 species
AGCGGGCUGCAGGGCUGCGGGCGCUUGGUUCGGCCUGGCCCGGCCGGCGGCUCCUAACACCGGGCGGGCGGCUGCGGCGGCACUUCCGGGUUGGCCUUCUCCAUGUUGGUCUCGGGAACGUGAAGGGGCGGGGCCUCGAGGUCAGGGGUCAGCACCUCCCUGGUUGCCGUGGCGACUGGAGGCGCGCGACGCGGGCGCAAUGGCGGGGACCCGGGGCUUGAUGCUGCUUGGGCCUGGCCCAGUGGCGGGUCCUAGGGACGUGGGUACCUGCAGAGGCCGGCAGAUGGAGAUUCAGAAACAUAAGGACAACAAGAAACUUCCCCAAGGUAUCAUUAUAGUCUUUAGACUUCAGACACACACCACACCUCAAAUAUAUACACAACUGAAAGGAAAAUUAAGGAAGUUUUUCAAAGAACCCUAUUCCGAGUAAGAAGUGUGUUGCAUGAAUUUCUAAGGUCUCUGAAAAGCAACUUAUUCACUGGAGAUGUGAGGAGCCAUCCGCACAUCACAAUUCUAUAGACAUCAAACGCAUGAAGCAUUUCGGAUCUGCUUUAAGACUGAGGCAGACUUUCCAUCUGGACACAGCCGACCAUCCAUGUGUCAUUACAAUGAAUCCAGCACUUCCCUGGAAGCUGGAAGGGUCAAAUUCAACUUCAACUCUGCCACUUCCUGCUUAACUUGCUGUUUAACCUUGGGCAAGCUGCCAUCCCACACGAGGCCGAAGGUGUCGGUUUUUAAAAUACAGAAAUUUGGUUCCAUGAGGGAUUAUCAAUAUACUGCUGGUGGGCCAAAUUCCAUCUGCUACUUGCCUUUGUAAAUAAAGUUUUAUUGAAACACAAACAUGCCCAUUAGUUUACUCUUGUCUGUGACUACAAGGGCAAAGUUGAAUAGUUGUUACAGAGACCAUCAGGCUCACAAAGCCUAGGUUAUUUACUAUCUGCCCAUUUACAGAGUAAGUUUGCCAGCCCUGGACUGGAUAAUUUUUUGAGUUCUUUCUAAUUCUAGAAUUCUUUAUAUAUUUUAUGAAACCCCUAAUGUUUAUAUAUUAAUUAUUUCAAUACCCGUGUCUUUACUGAGUCCCUCCUAUGAAGCAUACAUCAAGACAUAUGUGUGAUACAUUAACUAAACUUUUAACAGUAUCUUAAAUAGGAUUUCAAUGACUAACAGCUCUUGGAAAUAUCCAAGGUAACAUUUGGGGGCAAAUGUCUUAUGAUUUGAUUAUCAUUGGUAAAUAGAGCAUAUCUUUUUUUCCACUAACAAUGUUUAAGAAGUUAAAAAAAAAUCAAGAAAACCCCGUAUGGCACUAGAGACUUAUUGCAUUAAGACAUCAUCUUAACAGAUUGUUUAGUUUUGGUAAUAUAAUUUGACAUCUAAACAUAAGCUGAGAGGGAUCUCCCUCAAAACCUUUGAUAAUAUGAUUCAUUGUCAAAUGUUUGUUUUGCCUAUCUGGCACUCAUUAAUUAAUUCUUUUUAAUAUAGCUUGGAUUUACUGAUUUUGAAAAAGAGAAUUAUUCUUAUUGAUGUUGCUAAAAUAUCCAGGUGGCUUGAAUUUCACCAACUAGAUAGUUUAAUCUAGCACAUUUGUGUAGCCCUAAUCAAAUCUUUACUAACAGAUGUGAGAAGCCCAGUACUGGAGCUAAUGUUUGUGUCUCAAUGAUAAUUAAAUUAGCUUAAUAAGGAAAAUAAAUGAACAAUAAUCACCAAAAUUUUUCCCUAAACCUGUGUUAUAGUCUUAAAAACAUUUUUUCCCCUAUGGAGGCUUUUGGUAAUAAAACACAAAUUGAGGGAUUUUAAUUAAAAGAAAUUUUUUUUUCAAGAACUGGUCAUGUACUAAAUUGCUUAUAAUCAAAUAAUCAAGUAGCAUUUCUUUUAUUAUAAGAGCAAAACCUAUAAUUAAGCCAAAAUUCAAAUUUGUUUUUAAAGGUUGAAUAAUCUUUUGUUUUGGCCAAUAGUAUGUGGAUUUUUUUUUUAAGUAUUAUCUCUUUGUAGUAUUUUCUAAUGGAUAGGAAAUGCCUUUCUCAGGUUGAAUGAUUAUUUCCACAUAGAAUUAGUUCCUGCUUACAACAGUGCUCCACUAAUGUAAUGGCUCGGUGAAUUGGCUUUAUAAUUCAUUAAUCAUAGCUCACAUUGAGCUUUUGGCUCCAGGUGACAGUGCCCACCACAGGCCAAAUAACUUCUCAUUUAAAGGCAAUUUGUACAAAUAGGGAAGGUGAGAAUUCUCACAGUCCCAGAGGGAUUGAAGAGUUUUAAAAAACCAAGAUAAGGCAUUUUAUGGAAGACAGGUUGAUGGAAGAAAAGUGGCCAUUGGAGGAUGAGGCAGAUGGCUUUCCAGGGAGGCCCUGGAGCUGCCACCAUGGGGAAGGCCAUGUUGCAGCUGCUGAUCAGAGCACAUUGGACGGUGUUUCCGUGUGAACAUGAAGACAAUGCUGCCUCUGUUUCUGUGACGCUGUGCUCUGAUCUUGCUGGAGGCGAAGUGGUGUCAGCUGUGCUUACAGGACAGUCAGUGGUGGUAGAAAAGAGGCCAGUGUGACCUGUGAAGGACUGGGCCCCUCUCACUCAACCUGAGUGCCUGCAGUUGUGGCCACCUUUAUUUGUGUAUUCUACUGUAUUUAUUUAUUUGCCUGGCUAAUUAGCUCUGUGCCACAUUCCUAAGCUAGAUGUGUCCCUUCAUGUAAGUGAGAGGGAGACAGAAAGAAAGACUGAGGUGGGGGGUAGGAGAAAGAGAGGAAAGCAAGCAAGAAGAAAGAGAAAGAGAGAAGAAGAAAGGAAGAGGAAAGAAAGAGAGAAAGAGAAAGAGAAGGAAGGAAGGAGAAAGAGAAGGAAAGAAGGAGCCUUCUAAUUUUAUUUCAUUUCUCCAAUAAAUGUUCCUAUAUUAAGACUUUAGACAAAGAUUAGAAAUAUGAUUUGACAGAAAGUGUAUGGAUGUGUUGUUCUAUUGCAUUGUAAGUAAAGUAUCCAUGGCAAUAUACAAAUAAUACAGCUCCUACCCCUAUUCUCUGUUGUUACUUUCAUGUGUUGUCUUAACUUUUUAAAUUUCAAGAUAAUAUUGCGCUUAUUUAUUUUUCCAUGAGGAGGCCUAGGAUUUAGCUUGAUUAGAAAAGCUGUGGAAAAUGAAUGUGCUAAUUACUUUAAAUCAAAUUGAAAAUAAAUUUUAUCCUGUUUCAUGCAAAACA